rnacentral:rRNA from 1 species
GAUGAACGCUAGCUACAGGCUUAACACAUGCAAGUCGAGGGGCAGCGGUAUCGAAAGCUUGCUUUCGGUAGCCGGCGACCGGCGCACGGGUGAGUAACGCGUAUCGAACCUGCCUCAUACUCGGGAAUAGCCUUGCGAAAGUAAGAUUAAUGCCCGGUGUUUUCAGAGUCCCGCAUGAGGCUUUGAACAAAGAUUUAUCGGUAUGAGAUGGCGAUGCGUCCCAUUAGCUUGUUGGCGGGGUAACGGCCCACCAAGGCAUCGAUGGGUAGGGGUUCUGAGAGGAAGGUCCCCCACAUUGGAACUGAGACACGGUCCAAACUCCUGCGGGAGGCAGCAGUGAGGAAUAUUGGUCAAUGGGCGGAAGCCUGAACCAGCCAAGUAGCGUGCAGGAAGACGGCCCUCCGGGUUGUAAACUGCUUUUAGUUGGGAAUAAAACGGGGCUCGUGAGCCCCCUUGCAUGUACCAUCAGAAAAAGGACCGGCUAAUUCCGUG